rnacentral:rRNA from 1 species
UACCAGGCCACUGAGAGGGCCCAAUCUUGUCUGAUCUUGGAAGCUAAGCUGGGUGUUAUCUGGUUAGUUCUUGGAUGGGGGACCGCUGGGAAUACCAGGUUCUGUAC